rnacentral:lncRNA from 1 species
CCCAGUAAAAUAUAAACACGUGUCCAAGUUUAUCUCUUUAUUUUAACGCCGUUAGCCUUGUCAUUAACAUUCUUUUUCUGGGUUUAUUCUGGUACGACUACCCAUCUUGUCCGAUAGAAAUAAGCCAACCGUCUGCGUCGAUUCUCACUUCUGCCAUAAGAUUGUUAAUUUUCCAGAUCUUGUUUUGCAGAAAUCCAAUUACUAUAACGACGAUUUACUCUCCAUUCCUCCCACUGUUGUGCCUGAAACAGUGUUGCCAAAUAUUUGAAGAAAACCAGAGAGAAAUUUCAAUUAAUUUUAUUUUGAAGAAAAUCAAAUUAAAACAAAUAACAAUAAUAAUAUGAUAAGGUAAUGUAAGGUAAGAAACAAAUGCAACCAGAGCUACAUGAGGUGGAUGCCAUGUGCGAGUUGAAAUCCGCAGGCGAGGUGAAAGUGCUCCGCAAACGUUUGGUGAGCAAAAAAAAAAAAUUGAAACGGUGUUAAAUUG